rnacentral:tRNA from 1 species
UCAGGAUAGCUCAGUCCGGUAGAGCAGAGGACUGAAAAUUCUUCGUGUCGCCAGUUCAAAUCUGGUUCCUG